rnacentral:lncRNA from 1 species
GAAAUUAUGUGAAUUCAGAUUGUUGGAGUGAAGUCUGUUAUUCUUGGUGUUGGAUAGAAAUUAUUAUGUUCUGAGUAGUCUUUUGAGAGUGCAGGAUUGCACACUAUUGUUAUCAGUUGAUGAAUGAGUAUUGUUAUUGAGAGAAAGCAUUGUAAUAUUUUUUAGUAUUUUAGUGGUUUGAAAUACAGCUAAUUGUGUGAUCCUA